rnacentral:rRNA from 1 species
GGAAUAUUGCACAAUGGGCGCAAGCCUGAUCCAGCCAUGCCGCGUGUGUGAAGAAGGCCUUCGGGUUGUAAGGCACUUUUGUACGGGAAGAAAAGCACUCGGUUAAUACCCGGGUGUCAUGACGGUACCGUAAGAAUAAGCACCGGCUAACUUCGUGCCAGCAGCCGCGGUAAUACGAAGGGUGCAAGCGUUAAUCGGAAUUACUGGGCGUAAAGCGAGUGUAGGUGGCUAUGUAAGUCGGAUGUGAAAUCCCCGGGCUCAACCUGGGAACUGCAUUCGAUACUGCAUGGCUAGAGUCUGAUAGAGGGAAGUGGAAUUCCAGGUGUAGCGGUGAAAUGCGUAGAUAUCUGGAAGAACACCAGUGGCGAAGGCGGCUUCCUGGAUCAAGACUGACACUGAGGCUCGAAAGCGUGGGGAGCAAAC